UAGGCCAUCAGUGGGUCCUGGAUAGUGA
rnacentral:piRNA from 1 species